AUUGAACGCUGGCGGCAGGCCUAACACAUGCAAGUCGAACGAGUGGCGGACGGGUGAGUAAUGUAUGGGAAACUGCCUGAUGGAGGGGGAUAACUACUGGAAACGGUAGCUAAUACCGCAUACCAUCGGAUGUGCCCAGAUGGGAUUAGCUAGUAGGUGGGGUAAAGGCUAACCUAGGCGACGAUCCCUAGCUGGUCUGCGAGGAUGAUCAGCCACACUGGAACUGAGACACGGUCAAGACUCCUACGGGAGGCAGCAGUGGGGAAUAUUGCACAAUGGGAGCAAGCCUGACGCAGCCAUGCCGCGUGUAUGAAGAAGGCCUACGGGUUGUAAAGUACUUUCAGCCGGGAGGCGUUACCCGCAGAAUAAGCACCGGCUAACUCCGUGCCAGCAGCCGCGGUAAUUC
rnacentral:rRNA from 1 species